GGGGGAAACCCUGACGCAGCAACGCCGCGUGGAGGAUGAAGGUCUUCGGAUUGUAAACUCCUGUCAGUGGGGAAAAAGGGACACGGGUGAAUAGCCCGGGUUUUUGAUUGUACCCGCAGAGGAAGCCCCGGCUAACUCUGUGCCAGCAGCCGCGGUAAUACAGAGGGGGCAAGCGUUAUUCGGAAUUAUUGGGCGUAAAGGGCGCGUAGGCGGCCGCAUAAGUGGAAGGUGAAAUCCCUCGGCUUAACCGAGGAGCUGCCUCCCAAACUGAGUGGCUUGAGUCCGGGAGAGGUGAGUGGAAUUCCCAGUGUAGCGGUGAAAUGCGUAGAUAUUGGGAGGAACACCAGUGGCGAAGGCGGCUCACUGGACCGGAACUGACGCUGAGGCGCGAAAGCGUGGGGAGCAAACGGGAUUAGAUACCCCGGUAGUCCACGCUGUAAACGAUGAGUGCUUGGUGUAGCGGGUAUCGACCCCUGCUGUGCCGAAGCUAACGCAUUAAGCACUCCGCCUGGGGA
rnacentral:rRNA from 1 species